rnacentral:rRNA from 1 species
CUGUCUCAAAGAUUAAGCCAUGCAUGUCUCAGUACAAGCCAUAUUAAGGUGAAACCGCGAAAGGCUCAUUAAAUCAGUUAUGGUUCCUUAGAUUGUACCCACAUUUACUUGGAUAACUGUGGUAAUUCUAGAGCUAAUACAUGCAAAUAGAGUUCCGACCGGAGACGGAAGGAGCGCUUUUAUUAGAACAAAACCAAUCGGCGUCGGGUCUUUGGCUCGUCGUCGUACACUUUGGUGAAUCUGAAUAACUUUCUGCUGAUCGCACGGUCACGAACCGGCGACGUAUCUUUCAAAUGUCUGCCUUAUCAACUGUCGAUGGUAGGUUCUGCGCCUACCAUGGUUGUAACGGGUAACGGGGAAUCAGGGUUCGAUUCCGGAGAGGGAGCCUGAGAAACGGCUACCACAUCCAAGGAAGGCAGCAGGCGCGCAAAUUACCCACUCCCGGCACGGGGAGGUAGUGACGAAAAAUAACGAUACGGGACUCAUCCGAGGCCCCGUAAUCGGAAUGAGUACACUCUAAACUCUUUAACGAGGAUCAAUUGGAGGGCAAGUCUGGUGCCAGCAGCCGCGGUAAUUCCAGCUCCAAUAGCGUAUAUUAAAGUUGUUGCGGUUAAAAAGCUCGUAGUCGAAUCUGUGUCCCACGCCGCCGGUUCAUCGCUCGCGGUGUUUAACUGGCGUGUCCGUGGGACGUCCUGCCGGUGGGCGCAGCUCGCAAGAGCGGCCCAACUUCAAUCCCAUCGCGGUGCUCUUCAUUGAGUGUCGAGAUGGGCCGGCACGUUUACUUUGAACAAAUUAGAGUGCUUAAAGCAGGCUAAAAUUUUGCCUGAAUACUGUGUGCAUGGAAUAAUGGAAUAGGACCUCGGUUCUAUUUUGUUGGUUUUCGGAACCCCGAGGUAAUGAUUAAUAGGAACGGAUGGGGGCAUUCGUAUUGCGACGUUAGAGGUGAAAUUCUUGGAUCGUCGCAAGACGGACAGAAGCGAAAGCAUUUGCCAAAAACGCUUUCAUUGAUCAAGAACGAAAGUUAGAGGUUCGAAGGCGAUCAGAUACCGCCCUAGUUCUAACCAUAAACGAUGCCAGCUAGCGAUCCGCCGAAGUUCCUCCGAUGACUCGGCGGGCAGCUUCCGGGAAACCAAAGCUUUUGGGUUCCGGGGGAAGUAUGGUUGCAAAGCUGAAACUUAAAGGAAUUGACGGAAGGGCACCACCAGGAGUGGAGCCUGCGGCUUAAUUUGACUCAACACGGGAAACCUCACCAGGCCCGGACACCGGAAGGAUUGACAGAUUGAGAGCUCUUUCUUGAUUCGGUGGGUGGUGGUGCAUGGCCGUUCUUAGUUGGUGGAGCGAUUUGUCUGGUUAAUUCCGAUAACGAACGAGACUCUAGCCUGCUAAAUAGGCGUAUUUCCGACAUCUCAAAGGCCCGCCGGCCCGGCGUUUGCGCGUCGUGGUCGUGCGCGGUUUUUACUGUCGGCGUACAAAUAAUUCUUCUUAGAGGGACAGGCGGCUUCUAGCCGCACGAGAUUGAGCAAUAACAGGUCUGUGAUGCCCUUAGAUGUUCUGGGCCGCACGCGCGCUACACUGAAGGAAUCAGCGUGUCCUCCCUGGCCGAGAGGCCCGGGUAACCCGCUGAACCUCCUUCGUGCUAGGGAUUGGGGCUUGCAAUUGUUCCCCAUGAACGAGGAAUUCCCAGUAAGCGCGAGUCAUAAGCUCGCGUUGAUUACGUCCCUGCCCUUUGUACACACCGCCCGUCGCUACUACCGAUUGAAUGAUUUAGUGAGGUCUUCGGACGGGUACGCGGUGGCGUUUCGACGUCGCCGAUGCUGCUUGGAAGAUGACCAAACUUGAUCAUUU